CAGAGUUGCAAAACUCCCAACACCUAUGUGGACUAGCCUGCGAAUUGCUUCGGCGAGGUGGCUCCCCUGUGGAUGCUAGCGCCCUUAGAACGGUGCAGCCCGCCGGAGACAUCUAAACUCUUGCAUCUUUUGGUAUCUCUGAGUAUUAUACAAAUAAGUUA
rnacentral:misc_RNA from 1 species